AUUGAACGCUGGCGGCAGGCCUAACACAUGCAAGUCGAGCGAGCGGCGGACGGGUGAGUAAUGUAUGGGGACUGCCCGAUAGAGGGGGAUAACUACUGGAAACGGUAGCUAAUACCGCAUACUAUCGGAUAACCCAGAUGGGAUUAGCUAGUAGGUGUGGUAAUGGCUCACCUAGGCGACGAUCCCUAGCUGGUCUGAGAGGAUGAUCAGACACACUGGGACUGAGACACGGUCCAGACUCCUACGGAGGCAGCAGUGGGGAAUAUUGCACAAUGGGCGCAAGCCUGAUGCAGCCAUGCCGCGUGUAUGAAGAAGGCCCUAGGGUUGUAAAGUACUUUCAGUCGGGAGGCGUUACCGACAGAAGAAGCACCGGCUAACUCCGUGCCAGCAGCCGCGGUAAUUC
rnacentral:rRNA from 1 species